rnacentral:lncRNA from 1 species
UCCACCAUAAGUUAAGAGAAAGAACUGUUGUUAAACACCCUUUCAUAACUUCAACACAUUAGACAAUGGCCAAACCUAGUGUCUCAAAACCCCAAAAUGUCUUCUUAUUCAUUGUGUUCCUUCUCUCAGGUAUUUACUCUCACCCACUUAAACUACAAUUAAUCAGUAAUAGAUUAAGGUAUGGCCAAACUUGAUGUUCUUUUCCUUUAAUUAAUUUGCUCCUUUUUCGCUUUCCUUGCCAUGGAUUUAUAAUUUGUGUCUAGAGAAUAAUACCAAGAAUGGGACAACACCGAAAAAAUAGAUAUAUAGGUUUUGCAAUUUUUUUAUAAUUCUGGCUGGUUUCGGCUUUCUUUUCUCCUCUAUUUUAAUAAAAAAGAGGCCUUACAAGUUACAAUUACGAUGUUUCCACAAUGGCAGAUCCAGAAUUUUUAAAGCAUGAGUGCUCAACUAUUUUUAAUUUGAAAAUUGCUAUUUAAACUGAGUGCCCAGUACAUAUAUCUAUAUAAAUUACCCGNNNNNNNNNNNNNNNNNNNNNNNNNNNNNNNNNNNNNNNNNNNNNNNNNNNNUNNUUGCUUAAGCACCCAUAAUAGAUAACAUAGAUCUGCCAUUGUCCGUUUAAGAUAGAAAAAAAGAUCGAAAUAUUUUAUUUUUUUUUUAAAUCAAGAAUUAAUGUAUUAACUUUGUUUUUCCAGUUCCGUUCUUACUACUCGUACAAGAUAUUUUUUUCUCCAAUUAUAUUCUACCUUUACUUUGAUCAACAGUGGAUAUAAAGCGACAUUCUUUUUGCACCAAGUUGUUUUAUUGUUAGAAAUUUUAUAUGUAUAACGAUGAUUUAAUUAACAUUCGCAAAUUUUGUUGAUGCGAGCAGUUCAUGAGAUAGGGGUUGAGGCAAAAACAUGUAACGAAGGGCUGGCAUGGGUGGAAACGACGUGCGAAGGAAACCAUCGGUCGCAGCCGGGAAUUUUAUGUUGGAAUGAAUGUUAUAACAGACACGGUUUAAGUGCCACUGCCAGUUGCUUGGAUUCCCCUGCUUUGCCCACUCUCUUUUGCUGGUGCUCUUGGCCUUGUUAAUUAUGCCUAAAAUACUUCCCUAGCUUAAUUAAUGCUUUAUACUAGUUACUAUUCUCAAAGAUCCAUAUUCUAUUCAUUUUAUAAGCAAUAUAUGUUGGUGCUUUUCAACUAAUCUGGAAAACAGUAUAUUUAUCAUUUUAUUUUCAUUGAAUUACUUUUUUCUUAACUGACGAGUAGCAACUAAUUAUAUUGCUAGCUCCAAACUCAUUACGCUUCACAUUAAGGGGUCAUUUCUUGAUGGUGCUGAAACGAUUAAUCCCUCCCACCAUAAAAUUCAAUAUACGAUAAUAAGGUAUUUGGUUGGUCAAAUAAGAAAUAAUAAUUGUCGCUUAACUAAUGUAUGGAUGUGGAGUAAGAAUAUUUUAAAUUCAGGGAUUGAACUAUUUAAAGAUAAAAAAUACCUUAUGCGAAGCAAAUCAUCCCUAACUGCUUAAUAAUCUUGUCCGCUUUAUUAUUAAGGAAUUACUGAAGAACUAUGUGAAAGUUGGUAGAAAAUAUAUAGUCCUUGAUUUAAGAGCAUCUCGUGCAUCUAUAACGCUACUAAAUAUUCCCUUUUGCUUACAAGUGAUUAGUGAUUGAUAUUUGCAGUACUUACAAACUAUUCCUAAAAGAUUGUGAGAAUUUAUCUCUCUCUCGUCAAUUCUUUUUUUAUUUUUUUAUUUUUGGGUGGGUAGCUUGAUGAGAUUAAUUUGUUCUCUUCCCCAGUUUUCAAACGAAGGAUAAACUUCAAUCAGUCAAACCAAAUACUGAAUCUCAAGCCUUUGACAAACUCGAGAUUUUAGUCAACAGUCAGCUUUAACAUAUUAGACUUCUCUUCUGUUAGUUUUUGACCAAGUGUAUCAUAAUCGGGUUAAGAUUUCCUCCCGUAUUUCUUAAUGGGAUAGUAGGAUGCUGCCACGUGUUACAAAAAGCUGGACAUUUCAAGAUCCAUUUUAUAGAGUAUUAUUUUAGCAGAGAAAAAUAAAUAAAUAUUAGAAAACAAUUCUUUUUUGAACUCCACUGCGUGAACUUCCGACGCCG